GAUAUGGAUAAUAUUAUUUUGCUGCGCAUUAUUUUAAAGUAUGAAAGCAAAAAAGAUGAAAAAAUAAAAUAAUGCGCAGCACACAAGUAUACAAAGAAAUUAUUAUGGAAUCACAGCUAUAUAUUAAAUAGAGCCCACUGGGCCAACAAAAGAAUAAUUCUAAUAAUAAAUUAUAUAUCUAAAAAACGAAGUGAAUUGAAAUAUCUUAAUAACUUCAGGAAAAAAAAUCAAAAGAGAUUUCUUAAGUAAUGUGAAUGAAACAGAAUAAGUCUCAUUUUUGUAUUUGGUCUUUUUCAUUUUCUCUAUUCUUGAUUGCUCUAGCAUAUUGUUAUUUAAAUAAUUUAAUGCUUGCUUGUAAUACUAAACAAGCUUAGGUAGUUAUCAUAAUAAAAAAAAAAAAGAAAAAGACACAUGCUUGUUAAACUAAACGAGCUGUACAAAAAGGAAAAAGUAAAAUGGAGUGCAUAUCUGUUUGAAUAAAAGGGGAACCUUCCUCUAAGACUAAAUAUAAUAUAUAAGCGAUAGCGUAUAGUACCGUGAGGGAACGGAUUGAAAUAGUAAUUUUAUAAGCAGCUCAAAAAUAGUUUAAAUAAACAAUGAGAGCGUACCUUUUGCAUAAUGGGUCAGCAAGUUAAUAUUCGAUGCGAGCAAUAAUGCAAAGAUAAAACAAUUAUGAUAUAAUGAUGUAGUAUCGAAAUUAGACCCGAAACCUAGUGAUCUUACCAUGAUCAGGGUUAUAAAAGCCCGAACGGGUUAUCGUUGUAAAGAUAUCCGAGGAAUCGUGGUAAGUUAGUGAAAGACAAUACUGACUAGGAUAGCUGGUUUUCUGCGAAACCUAUAUAAGUAGGUAAUUUAAAUAGAAUAUCAGAAGGUACAGAAUUGUGAUCUCAUGCAACCAGUAUUUAUUUUUAUAUUAAUCAAAAAAAUAACAGCUUGUUUGUGUGCUUAUCUUAGGUUAUGCUACGUAAGUAUUCAUGCAUGUAUGCCUUUUUUAGGGUAAUUUAUAAUAUAUAUAAAAAUAUACUUUUUGUGGACAUUGGGGGGUCGUGAAGACUCUAUCAGUGAGUAUUUGUUCUCGGAAGGACUAGAUAUGUAUAUUGAAUAAUCGGACAUAGUACGAUAAGGUUGUAUGUCUAAAGGGAAAUAGCCCAGAACAAGAGUUAAUAAGGUUCCAAAAUUUUUGUUAAGUGAAAUUAAGGCAGUAUUUAUCCCAAUCGGCCAGGGAAUAGGCUUAGAAGCGGCCAUUUUUUGAAGACCUCGUAACAGAGCACUGGUUUUCUACUUUAUGGAUAAAAGCACCGAAAAUUUAACGGAUCUAAACAAAAUACCGAUACCUUGUCCAUAUAUAUUAAUGUGUAUAUUAUAUAUUGUAUAUAUGGGGUAGCGGAACAUUGGGUAGCCAUUUUUAAUCCUUUAUAAGGAUUAAUUUGCCUAGAGUUUAAUUUAUUAUUCUCUGGACUAAAUAAGCCCAAGUGAUAAUGCUGACAUGAGUAACGAUAAAGGAUCAUUAGGAGAAUCCUCGCCUAAAGCUUAUGGAAUUUAUUAAAGUUACGGCCUCUAAGUUUAUUUUUUUUUUCAUAGCUUCCGAUUAUUUAUAUAUAGUAUAUAUUUAAGAUCUACAUCUAAAUAGUCGAGAGUUAUGACAAAUUACCUAAUGGUAUAGACGAUGAGAAAACCUAGAGUUUACAGUAAUUAACGUUUUUUAUUUACCUAGUAACUGAAACUCCGCUUCUCCCCUUGAAUUAUUAUUUUAAUAAUCUAUUCUUAAAGGGAAAACGGAACCUGUUUACUAAUAUUUUAAGUAAAUUAAGUGAAAAACGUUCUGGAAAACUGUAGGCUCCGUAAGUAAUAUAAAAAAAGUAAAACAAAAUAUAUUGUAAGCUUACGCUAUAAUACCGUACCUAAAUACUAACACAAGUGAGCAAGUAGAGAAUACGAAGGCGUUCGAGCUAACAAUCAUUAAGGAACUCGGCAAAUUGACUCUCGUAACUUCGGGAUAAGGUGGACCAUUUCUUCUGAUUAAUAUCAGGCAAGAAAGAGGAGGCAUAGAAUGGUGUUGUACGACUGUUUAAUUAAAACAAAGCACGCUGCGAAGAAAUAAAUUCGAAGUAUUGAGUGUGAUCUCUGCCCGAUGGCGGCUGGUUAACUAAUUUGCUUAGUUAAAUCAAAUAAGCUAGGCUUUGAUGGAAACCCCGUUCAAUGGCGGCCUUACCUAUAAGGGUCCUAAGGUAGCGUAAUACCUUGGCCGUUAAAUGCGGUCUUGCAUGAAUGAUGUAACGAUACAACAGCUGUCUCUAUGAUUGGCUCGGUGAAAUUGGAAUAACUGUGCAGAUACAGUUUACCUUUAGUUGGACGAGAAGACCCUAUGCAGCUUUACUGUUGCUAGUUACUGAAUAUGAUAUAAUGAGUUGUAGUGUAUAAGGUAAUUAAUAUAGAAUUGAAACACCUUUACUUCAUUUAUCAUAUUAUAUAAACCUUACAAGCAAAUCGCCAGUAAAGUCAAUAAAUAUGAUUACUGGUUGUAAGAAUUGAUAGAAACAAUUGCUAGGUGGCAGUUUAUGCGGGGCACAGAUCCCAUAAAGAGUACCUGGGAGUAUCCAAAGACAUUUUUUUAGAUUGCUAUUUGCAAUUUAAUAUGAACUUUUAUUAGUAUAAAUUCAUAUUUUUAGUUUGCAAUAAGUGUUAUAUUAUAAUAUAACGCUCAUAUAAUUAUAAAUCCAUUUAAGUUGGAACUUUUUUUUAUUUAGGUAAGAUUUUCACUAUAUUUAAAUAUAGAUGUAAUUAAAUCAUUAUGAGGUGCCAGUGAGGCAUAUUAACGUAAUUAGAGAUAAUAUAAUGCGCUGGCACCUCAUAAUGAUUUUUGUUGUAUACUAGUCUACAUAAUGUAUUAAAUAUAUCUACGAGUUAAAUAUCCAAAAACUUAGGCAUGUUGUUUUCAUAUGCAUGGCUUAAAUUGGUGUUAGGUCGAAAUAAAAUACGGUACCUAUUGUAUUCGUAUGCAUGGCUUAAAUUGGUGUUAGGUCGAAAUACGUUUCAUGUAGUGGAAAUAUAUGUAUAUGUUUAUAUACUAAGUAUAUGAUAGUUAUUUUACUUAUCAAGUUUAACGGCUUAAUCUUGCUUUACUGUUUGACUUACAUGU
rnacentral:rRNA from 1 species